AAUGUAUACUGGGGUAGAGAUGGGGAGGAGCACGGUGGCAAGCACAGCAUAGAGACAGGAGCACCAGAUUAGACCACUAUCAAAACUGUCUUGGAUCUUCAGCUGUACAGAAGCUGCCUUGAAAUGUAGGCCUGUCCAUUCAUUUCCUCUUCCUCACACUCCCCCACCAUCACAGCCGGUUGCUGCAAGGACCUUGAGGACAUCUUCUCUGGCUACCUCUCACCCAAAAGAGCUUUGGGUCAUAUCCGAAAUGUUGGCAAGUGCUGAACUGAAGCAGGCUAGGUUGUACAACAACCACAAAGGGCUUAUGAUCCUAUAUUCAUCAUCUAUCUUUCAAUUAAUGCAUUUUGGAUCCAGAAAGACAAGAGUUCCAUUUUGUUAGCAGCUUUGGGAGGACCGUUGGUUUUGAAAAACCUCAUAUGUUUGUGGUGGGAUUUACCACACUUUCCUACCCCUAAAGAUGCACACAGGUUCAUGGAAUGCACCAGCUCAUGCUUCAAAGGUGACUCACAAGGCCAGCAAUUCAUCACUGGUUUCUUUGCAGCCCUAUUUUUGGUCUGCCUUCAAAACACAGCCUCACUGAAGAAUCCCAGGGUGUUCUCGCUGAGAGCAAGGAGAACGUGCAAGGAUUGCCCUGAAAAGGAGUGAAUAUGCUCAUUAAAAGCUAUGUCUGAAAAGGGAUGAAGACAACUUGGUGGUUUGUGCCGUCUCUUUACUGUAUCCUCAGGCAGCACCAAUGCACCUGGGAAUGAUGAACAUUGGAUCACCGGGGAUGGGAGAGAGGGUGAAUGGGAGACAGCUGAAGGAAUUGUGGGUUAUGCUGCUAACACACUUGAAGCAGCCCUCCCAAGUUUCAUUAGUCACAACCAACUGAUAUUUUGCAGACAGAUUCUGUACUGUCUGACAACAAAAUUGCAUUUGUGAACACUGGUUAAUUAAUCAAAUUAAUGUUAAUCUGACUAUUUGCACAUUAAAAAAAAAAGACUAGAGGCUUCCCUCUCCCCCUUAUUGUAGGAUUGCCAUGCUGCAGUCAACUGGAAAGAAUAUCAGCAUAUAAUACUUUUCCUUGCUUUUUUCACCCAAUAGGGUGACUAGAUGCAAAGUAGGGCAGGGCUUCAGUAUAUUUAAGAGGAGAGGGGAUUUCACUGCAGGUAGUCUGUCAUACUGGGAUGAUGCAGAAGUAUUUAUUUUGUUAAAAAAAACGUUUGAAAAUUGUGCCUGCUCAACUGAGAUGCUCUUUUCUUUACAAUGUUUGUGCUUCCUUAAAGGAUGAGACGUGUUCUUUUUUGCAUCUCAUCACCCUCUUGCUUACCUUUUAACUUUUUCUUAGUAUUGGUUUGAGCAAUGCAAAAAAAGGAUCACACCAUCAAAAUGUCAUAAAUACCAAAACCAAGGAUCUUUCUCAUAUGGAAUGAGAAAACGGAAUGCCGAUAUGAAUGCUGAUAUUGUUAGAUCAAUACACUACUGUAUCCCUUUAUUUCCCCAGAAAAUGGCAAUCCCUGUAACUAGACCCCACUUGCAACCUCAGAUGUCAUCCUGGACAAACAGUCCAGGAUAAAAAGCCCUUAGAUAUCUUAACUGAGAAAUUCUACAUGUGGUUUAUUAUU